GCCUCGGUAGCUCAGUCGGGAGAGCAGGGGACUGAAAAUCCCCGUGUCAGUGGUUCGAUUCCGCUCUGUGGCACCA
rnacentral:tRNA from 1 species